rnacentral:lncRNA from 13 species
UAGUUGUAAGGCUCUGACUAAUUGGUGUUCACUGUAUAAGUGUUUUUGUGGAGGUGUGUGUGGGGGGGUGUUGCCAAUUUCAGGUAUUGUUUUGCAUUUUGAAUAGAAGUGUUUUCCUUAAAGAUUCUCAUUCUUGAACGAAGUGUCUAACGUAAGAAACGGUGUGUAGUGUUUUGCAAGGUGUGUUGCAGGAUUGCAACCAAAGUGCAAAGCGGAAAAUGUGUUUGUACUUUUAGUGCCUUUGUUUAAGUCGUGGUUACCAAAGGUUUUGAUGCUUUUGUCUAAGCAUUCAUUUUCAGUGUGUCAGCAAUCGGUAAAAACUGUAAUGUGCUCGUGUCGAACUCAUUCCAUGGAGGGCCGCGUGUCUGCUGGUUUUCGCUCCUCCCUUGUACUUGAUUGAUGAAUUGACAUCAACUUCCUGAUUGCCUUUCCUACAGUUUUUUUUUUCUUCAGAUUUCUUAGGCACUAUCUUUGAAACUAUAGGCUAUGGUUGCAAAACUCUCCACACUAACGACAACACCAAACCAGCAAAAUAUGAGACAUAUCUUGCAAAAGCAAAAAAUUAUUGCAAAAUUCAUCACUCUUUUNNNNNNNNNNGGCAGAUGAAGCAAAUCAAAUCCAACACAAUGGGGCAGAUGAAGCAAGUCAAAUCCAGUACAAUGGGGCAGAUGAAGCAAAUCAAAUCCAACACAAUGGGGCAGAUGAAGCAAGUCAAAUCCAGUACAAUGGGGCAGAUGAAGCCUGGUCAUGGACUAACAAGCAAGCUUAUUGUGUUUUUAAACAAUCACUCACAAAAAAAAAUGGGGGAACAGAGGGUUAAAUAAUGAACAAAUAAUUGUGGGAUUGAAAUCAGGUUUGUAAAACAAAGACAAAACAAAUGGAAAAUUAAAAGUGGAUCGGCGGUGACUAGAAGGUCGGUGACGUCAAACCUCUGAACGGCGCCCGAACAAGAAGAGGGACCGACUUUAGCAGAAGUCGUGACAAGAGUAGAGAGAGGAAAAAGGGGAAAGGUAUUUAUGGGGGUCAUAAACCUCCCCCAACAGGGCAACGUCAUGACAAGGGGCAUGGGCAGGAGGGGCAUAAAUGGGGUGUGGGCAUUGUUGACUUGGGGGGGGGUUGAUCGUUUGGGGUGGGGGUGUGGAUGUUGGUCGUGGAUCCUCUAUGUAUAGGUCCGGGGGGGCCCUGAAGGUCUGGGAGAGUGUCUUGCUGGUCUGGGCGGGGUGUCUAUUGAUCUGUGGAGUGGUGGGCCAGGUAAACUCUUAGUUUUGAGGUACAGUUAUGGGAAAUGUCUCUCUCGCACUCUCACUCUCACUAACAACAAACACUCACACUUACACUUACACUCACUCUCACUCUCACUCUCUCACUCUGCAUUAGUAGUACACUGGGCUUAUAUAAGGGUGUCACAACCUCCUUCCAGGAAAUUGAACACAAAUACAAUUGGGAGAAGGACAAAGUUAGAAGAAAAGCGAGAGAGGGGCAAAAAUAGAUAAAAGCUUCCCUUCCUUUCUUCCUCCCCGAAGGAAACGUAUUUCAAUCGGAGUCCAUAUUCUUUUUAGUGUGAGGGCAGUAGAUGAGUUGUGGGCUGAAUAAGAAAAGGAAGUCUCUCAAGAUUAACUUGGCUGCGUCCCAAAAUGCUCUCCAUUCUCCAUAAAGUAUCAGACCUCAGGGUAAGACCCAGAUGCAGACUGCUAAAAAAAUAUUAACUUUAUUCAUAAUCAAGCAGGCAAACAACAGAUCAGUAAUCCAGGGCAGAGUCCGAAAGGUACAGAACGGCAGGCUCAGGGUCAGGGCAGUCAGAGUGGUCAAAAACAGGUGGCCUCCCGAGUGGUGCAGUGGUCUAAGGCACUAGCUGUGCCACUAGAGAUCCUGGUUCGAGUCCAGGCUCUAUCGCAGCCUGCCGUGACCGGGAGACCCCUGGUGUGGCGCACACUUGACCCAGCCUCAUGAGGGUUUUGCCGGCAGGGAUGUUCUUGUUCCAUCGCGCACUAGCAACUCAUGUGGCAUGCCGGGCGCAAUGCGUGCUGACACUGUCGCCAGGUGUCAGGUUCCUUUGACACAUUGGUGCUGCUGGUGUCCAGAUUAAGUGGGCAUUGUGUCAAGAAGCAGUACGGCUUGGCUGAGUUGGGUUUCGGAGAACGCUCGGCUCUCGACCUUCGCCUCUCCCGAGUCUGUACAGGAGUUUCAGCGAUGGGACAAGACUGUAACUACCAAUUGGAUACCACAAAAUUGGGGAGAAAAAAGGGGUGUAACAAAAACACACAAAAAAAACAAACAGGGACUAACAAGAAACACGAGUGUGGGAAAAAAAAAACGCUGGUAGGCUUGACGAGACAAGACAGGUGAAACAGAUCAGGGUGUGACGCUAGGUUUGACCAGAGCCCCAUGGAUAGUCAAUACAUACAUUUACAUUUGUAUCCAUAUGUUUGGAUUUCCCCUGUAACAUAAUUUAUUGGUGAGAAGGUGGGAAAAAGCUGAGAAAAUAUGUCUGAAAACACCUUGUUCCACAAUUAAAGAUACAGUGAGGGAAAAAAGUAUUUGAUCCCCUGCUGAUUUUGUACGUUUCCCCUCUGACAAAGAAAUGAUCAGUCUAUAACUUUAAUGGUAGGUUUAUUUGAACAGUAAGAGACAGAAUAACAACAACAAAUAUCCACAAAAACGCAUGUCAAAAAUGAUAUAAAUUGAUUUGCAUUUGAACUCACUUACUGAGUUUCCAAACUGCCUCUGGAACCUCUGAAGGUCUGGAACCUCUGAACCUCUGGAACCUCUGAAGUCAGCAGUCGAGAUCCCACCAGAUUUCCACGAUGGUCCCAAAACACUAUGUCUGGCCCACUGACCAGACCACCACCAGGCUUCCAUCAUGGAAAUCCGGUGGGACCACGACCUGAUUUAGUGGAGAUUUUAAUGGAAGAAGUCGAAUAUCGAGAGAGUGAGGAGGGAGAACGAAAGACUAAAAAUAAAAUAAAAUAAAAAGGAAGAACAAGGAGGUAUUAAACUAGCCCAGCAACCCCCUUUGUAAGAGCACUCCAUCAAUCAGAACACUUUCUCUUCCUACUCUCUGUCUCUGUUCGCCGUGACUUUCAGACCUCCUUUCACACCAGCACAUAUCUUAAAAAAAGAGAACGAGACAAAGAGAGAAAUGAAGAGAGUGGGAGUUACAGACAGGUUGGGAAAAGGAUCUUUAUAGCUCUUCGUUACUUAUCUAAUUCCAUAUUUAUGAGAGGGUUCAUCUCUAACGGCAUAUUCAACAUCCCCUCUCCUCCCCUCUAUCUCCUCUCUAUCUCCUCUCU